UUAUGUAACAAUAUAUAAAUAGGUAUAUAAAAUGAAGGUUCGUGAUAUAUAUAUUAUUUUUAUAGUUAAAUUAAUUUUAAACAUGACUGAUUUUUCGAUAAUUUUCAUUUGCAUUCAAAUCUGUUUGAUACAGAACGCUUUUAGUCAGUGUCUUGGAGCUGCUGGGCCAUUAGGUCCUGGGUAUGGGGUCGGGUAUGGACCGGCUAUUGCCCCAGCUGCAGCAGGAUUGGCUUCUUAUGGCUUGGGUGGUCUAGCGGCUUCACCAUUCGGUGUAGCCCCAACUGCUAUCGAACUGGCACCUGGAUAUGGUGGUACAGGUGUUGGUGAUAUCGCAGUCGCAGGUGAUAUGCCAGUGGUUGGUACCACUCUUGUCGCUGGACAGGUACCGAUUCUAGGUUCUGUACGAUUUGCUGGUGAUAUUCCAGCUGCUGGUACUGUCUCCAUCGCCGGUAGCUGUGGUUGUGGCUGUGGUAGUCCUUAUUAUUAUUGAGUUUUUCAUUCUUAGAUAUAAAAUAAAUUAUUUUUUAACAUUAA